AGUGAACGCUGGCGGCAGGCCUAACACAUGCAAGUCGAGCGGCAGCGCGGGGGCAACCCUGGCGGCGAGCGGCGGACGGGUGAGGAAUUCGUCUGAAUCUGCCUUUUUGUGGGGGAUAACGUAGGGAAACUUACGCUAAUACCGCAUACGUCCUACGGGAGAAAGUGGGGGACCGCAAGGCCUCACGCAGAAAGAUGAGCCGACGACCGAUUAGCUAGUUGGUGGGGUAAAGGCCCACCAAGGCGACGAUCGGUAGCCGGUCUGAGAGGAUGAUCAGCCACACUGGGACUGAGACACGGCCCAGACUCUUACGGGAGGCAGCAGUGGGGAAUAUUGGACAAUGGGCGCAAGCCUGAUCCAGCCAUGCCGCGUGUGUGAAGAAGGCCUUCGGGUUGUAAAGCACUUUUGUCCGGAAAGAAAUACCUGGAGCUAAUACCUUCGGGGGAUGACGGUACCGGAAGAAUAAGCACCGGCUAACUUCGUG
rnacentral:rRNA from 1 species